rnacentral:rRNA from 1 species
GAUGAACGCUGGCGGCGUGCCUAAUACAUGCAAGUCGAGCGAACAGACGAGGAGCUUGCUCCUCUGACGUUAGCGGCGGACGGGUGAGUAACAUGUGGCUAACCUACCUAUAAGACUGGGAUAAAUUCGGGAAACCGGAGCUAAUAACGGAUAAUAUAUUGAACCGCAUGGUUCAAUAGUGAAAGACGGUUUUGCUGUCACUUAUAGAUGGAUCCGCGCCGCAUUAGCUAGUUGGGAAGGUAACGGCUUACCAAGGCAACGAUGGGUAGCCGACCGAAGAGGGGAAUAGGCCAAAUUGGAACGGGGACACGGUCCGGACUCCUACGGGAGGCAGCGGUAGGGAAUCUGCCGCAAUGGGCGAAAGCUUGACGGAGCAACGCGGCUGGAGUGAGAAAGGUCUUCGGAUCGUAAAACUCUGUUAUUAGGGAAGAACAAAUGUGUAAGUAACUAUGCGCGUCUGGACGGUACCGAAGCAGAAAGCCACGGCAAACUACGU